rnacentral:rRNA from 1 species
AUUGAACGCUGGCGGCAGGCCUAACACAUGCAAGUCGAACGGUAACAGGAAGAAGCUUGCUUCUUUGCUGACGAGUGGCGGACGGGUGAGUAAUGUCUGGGAAACUGCCUGAUGGAGGGGGAUAACUACUGGAAACGGUAGCUAAUACCGCAUAACGUCGCAAGACCAAAAAGGGGGAUCUUCGGGCCUCUUGCCAUCGGCUGUGCCCAGAUGGGAUUGUCUAGUAGGUGGGGUAACGGCUCACCUAGGCGACGAGCCCUAGCUGGUGUGAGAGGAUGAUCAGCCACACUGGAACUGAGACACGGUCCAGACUCCUACGGGAGGCAGCAGUGGGGAAUAUUGCACAAUGGGCGCAAGCCUGAUGCAGCCAUGCCGCGUGUGUGAAGAAGGCCUUCGGGUUGUAAAGUACUUUCAGCGGGGAGGAAGGGAGUAAAGUUAAUACCUUUGCUCAUUGACGUUACCCGCAGAAGAAGCACCGGCUAACUCCGUG